GCAAGAUCCAGUGGUCGUGGCCCAGAAGGCUGUGCAGAGGAGGGGACUGGGCCAUGGCCGGGGCUGCUGCAGGCUCUGGGAGGCUGGGCCGGCCACCUCCAGGCCUGAGCUUUUAUCUGGACCAAAGAUGAGCGGAUGGGUGUUCACCUGAAGGAAGGUCACGGUGAUGGUGCCACCAGCUCUAUUCCCAGCCUCGUCAAGGGCAUUGUUUUGAUCUUGAAUGAAGAUAUGAAUUGAUCUAAUUUGGGGUAUGGUCCAGAUGCAACAAGUGAAUUGGAUAACAGCCAGGAUCACAGAGAAGCUGACAGGCUCGAACAGCCUACCAGAUCUACUAAGUCGGGAUCAACAGAGCUCCACGUAAUCUCCCUCUUAGUUCAGGGUCAGGUGGCAUGUAACUGGCAGCACGCGUGAAAAACAAAGGUGAUCCCAUUUGCGAGAAAUGGGGUCUUCAACCAAGGAGGUGACUGUCUCUUAUUCCCUCUGCAGGAUGGGCCUUUGCCAGAGUAAGUGGUCACAUGUGGGGGCCACCAUUCAUGAUGAAAGGAAACAGGCCCCAGCCAAGGACAGCAAGGUUAGUGACAGCUUCAAGCCAGGUCACCAGAGAAAUAGUCGAAGGACUCGGGGAUGUUUUGUUCACAAAGCAAAAACUUUGGGGUAGGAUGGUUGCCUCCAGGCGUCUAGAAGGAAAUACUCCAGGAAGACCAAAGAACUUCCUAAGAUCAGUAGGGAUGUCUGAUGAGGGAGUGAGUGGCCUGUUUGUGGAGGUGAUGAAGAAGAGGCCAGAUGCGUACACACUAGGCACAGGCGGGAGCUGGAGUGGAUGGCUGUGCCUGACUCUACCUAUGCUGACAAGCCCCCUAAAACGAGGGGUUUGACGACCCCUCAGCUUUCCAUCACCUUGGGCAGAAGCACUGUACUGUACCCAUUAAGCAGUAACUCCUUUUACCCUCCACCCCUGGUGACCUCUCUGCUGUGUCCCGUCUCUGCGAAUCUGCCUCUUCCAGGUGCCUCGUGACACGGAAUCACACAGCGUGCGCUCUGUAUAUGGCCUACUUCAUAAUGCCCUCAGGGUUCGUCCACGACUUCAUUCCUUUCUGUGGUUGAUAAAUAUUCCGGUGUACGCAUAGACCACAUUCUGUUUAUCCAUUCCUCUGUUCUAGAACCUGCUUUCAAGUUCUUUGGGUAUGAAAAGAGCAUAUUGUUUUGUGACCAACUUUUCUCGUGAAUGUAUUAACAUUCCCCAUAUCAGUAGAUGUAUUUUUUUUUUUUUUUUAAGAUUUUACUUAUUUGAGAGAGAGUGUGUGUCCAUGAGCAAUGUCAGGGGAAAAACAGAGGGGGAGAGAGAGAAUCUCCAGCAGACUCCCCACUGAGCGUGGAGCCCAAUACGGGGCUCAGUCUCAUGAUCCUGAGAUCAUGACCUGAGCCGAAAUCAAGAGUCAAACGGCCAAGGGGCUGAGGCACGCAGGUGCCCCAUCAGUAGAUGUAUUUGUGCAAUGAGAUGCUUAGAGCACGCCUGGUUCUCCAUGAUGUGGUGGCAGUUUUGGUAAUAAGUUCUCUAAUACACACUGAGGUGCCUUACGGCUUUUCCGCAUAGUGACAUCCUUAUACCUAGAUUUUUUAAAGUUAUUUUUAAGUUGCACAUGUACUAUAUGAAUGCAAACUCCUUUUGAAAAAUUUAAACAUUACAGAUGAGAUUAAAGUCUCCCUGGGGGCACCUGGGUGGCUCAGUCAGUUA